rnacentral:rRNA from 1 species
CCUACGGGAGGCAGCAGUGGGGAAUAUUGGACAAUGGGGGCAACCCUGAUCCAGCCAUGCCGCGUGUGUGAAGAAGGCCCUCGGGUUGUAAAGCACUUUCAGUGAGGAAGAACGCCUGGUGGUUAAUACCCAUCAGGAAAGACAUCACUCACAGAAGAAGCACCGGCUAACUCCGUGCCAGCAGCCGCGGUAAUACGGAGGGUGCGAGCGUUAAUCGGAAUUACUGGGCGUAAAGCGCGCGUAGGUGGCUUGAUAAGCCGGUUUGUGAAAGCCCCGGGCUCAACCUGGGAACGGCAUCCGGAACUGUCAAGCUAGAGUGCAGGAGAGGAAGGUAGAAUUCCCGGUGUAGCGGUGAAAUGCGUAGAGAUCGGGAGGAAUACCAGUGGCGAAGGCGGCCUUCUGGACUGACACUGACACUGAGGUGCGAAAGCGUGGGUAGCAAACAGGAUUAGAUACCCUGGUAGUC